AUGAACGCUGGCGGCGUGCCUAAUACAUGCAAGUCGAGCGAACAGACGAGGAGCUUGCCCCUCUGACGUUAGCGGCGGACGGGUGAGUAACACGUGGAUAACCUACCUAUAAGACUGGGAUAACUUCGGGAAACCGGAGCUAAUACCGGAUAAUAUAUUGAACCGCAUGGUUCAAUAGUGAAAGACGGUUUUGCUGUCACUUAUAGAUGGAUCCGCGCCGCAUUAGCUAGUUGGUAAGGUAACGGCUUACCAAGGCAACGAUGCGUAGCCGACCUGAGAGGGUGAUCGGCCACACUGGAACUGAGACACGGUCCAGACUCCUACGGGGGGCAGCAGUAGGGAAUCUUCCGCAAUGGGCGAAAGCCUGACGGAGCAACGCCGCGUGAGUGAUGAAGGUCUUCGGAUCGUAAAACUCUGUUAUUAGGGAAGAACAAAUGUGUAAGUAACUAUGCACGUCUUGACGGUACCUAAUCAGAAAGCCACGGCUAACUACGUG
rnacentral:rRNA from 1 species